rnacentral:lncRNA from 1 species
GAUUUGGAUUAGGAUUUGGUUUAGAAUUUAGGGUUUAGGGUUUGGAUUGGGGUUUGAUUAGGGAUUAAGGUUUGAUUAGGAUUUGAUUUAGGAUUUAGGGUUUAUUUAGGGUUUGAUUAAGGUUGGAAUAGGAUUAGGAUUUGGUUAGAAUUUAAGGUUCUAUUAGAUUUUUAUUAGGGUUUGACUAAGUUUUCUUUAUUAUUCUUUUAUAUUUCUUUAGGAUUUCCUUGUGUUUCUUUUAUAACUCCAAUAAAAUUUAAUUGAACUUGCUUAAUAUUUGAUUAUGAUUAUUAUAUUUAAUUAUAAAUUCUCUAUAAUCCUAUUGGAUUGUUAGGACCUUUUGUUGCAAUUUUCUUUUACCUUCCACAGCCAGGUGCUUGGUGCAUUCUCAAGCAAGACUUCACGUAAUACGACAACGGACAUAGAAAUUAUUACGAACACAAAAAUACAGGCUCGAGAUCUAACAAGAAGUUCAAGAAGAACUGACAAGAACUAGAUUAAUCAGAUGA